rnacentral:rRNA from 1 species
UACGUAGGGCGCAAGCGUUGUCCGGAAUUAUUGGGCGUAAAGAGCUCGUAGGCGGUUUGUCGCGUCUGCUGUGAAAACCCGAGGCUCAACCUCGGGCCUGCAGUGGGUACGGGGCAGACUAGAGGUGUGGUAGGGGAGACUGGAAUUCCUGGUGUAGCGGUGGAAUGCGCAGAUAUCAGGAGGAACACCAAUGGGCGAAGGCAGGUCUCGUGGGCCACAACUG